GACGAACGCUGGCGGCGUGCUUAACACAUGCAAGUCGAACGGAAAGGCCUCUUUCGGGGGGUACUCGAGUGGCGAACGGGUGAGUAACACGUGAGUAACCUGCCCUUGACUUUGGGAUAACUUCAGGAAACUGGGGCUAAUACCGGAUAGGAGCUCCUGCUGCAUGGUGGGGGUUGGAAAGUUUCGGCGGUUGGGGAUGGACUCGCGGCUUAUCAGCUUGUUGGUGGGGUAGUGGCUUACCAAGGCGUUGACGGGUAGCCGGCCUGAGAGGGUGACCGGCCACAUUGGGACUGAGAUACGGCCCAGACUCCUACGGGAGGCAGCAGGGGGGAAUAUUGCACAAUGGGUGGAAGCCUGAUGCAGCAACGCCGUGUGCGGGAUGACGGCCUUCGGGUUGUAAACCGCUUUCGCUCAUGACGAAGCUUUGUGUGACGGUAGUGGGUAAAGAAGCACCGGCUAACUACGUG
rnacentral:rRNA from 1 species